UGGAAAACGAAAUGGUGGUUUCACCCCCUGUUUAUCUGAAAAUCUCAUAAAUUGGUGUUAAAACAAAAGUGGGAAGAGGAUGCUACCGAGUGAGGAGCUCUGCCAGAACAGUGAAGGCACAACAUGUCUACAGAGUCAGGUUGCAAAGUGCUUUGAGUACAGUAAUGUAGAAAGGUGGUAUACAAAUUAAAGAUAAAUGAAUAAUGACAUGGUUGCUGGCAGCAGCUCAGCUUUCUGUUGCACCAAAGUGGAAAAUGGCACAGGAUCUUCAUUUGCCUUCACAAGAAUGUAUGGAACUUAGGAAUCUCUGAGAAGUUGACCCAUUACUUAAGGGUGUCCAGUGAGUCUGAGGAUGCAGAGAAUUUCUACGUGACCUGGUGGGAGUUUCUUUUUCCACAGACACUGGGGAAUAUAGUUAUUUUUUAUGUGAACUCUAUUUUGGUGGAUUUGUAUCUGCCUAUGUACU